AUAAAACAACGGAGACCAUAUAUUCGAUAACAAACAAGAAUGUUUAUCUAGUUCCCCAAAAAUUAAAAGUAUAUACUGAAGAUAGAAUAAAAUAUAUUGCAGGGAGGACUAAAAAUAAUCUAUUAGACUAUUACAAUUAUAGCAUUGACAUUAACCAAUGCAUCAAGUGCUCGAGCCCCUCAACUAUAAGUCCCUCCAAUAACGCAUCAAACAAAUUCAAAAUUCCAAAACCCAAUUGCUUAAUUUUUGACUCUAUAACCUCUAACAUCUUCUUUCAAUUGGUGAAAAAAUGACAAUGCAAGACUGGAG
rnacentral:lncRNA from 1 species